rnacentral:rRNA from 1 species
CACGUAGGGGACGAGCGUUGUCCGGAUUCAUUGGGCGUAAAGCGCGCGUAGGCGGCUCGGAAAGUCGGUCGUGAAAUGCCGGGGCUCAACCCCGGGACUGCGUCCGAUACUCUCGAGCUGGAGGCAGGUAGGGGAGAUCGGAAUUCCUGGUGUAGCGGUGAAAUGCGUAGAUAUCUGGAGGAACACCGGUGGCGAAGGCGGCAUCCUGGACCAACACUGACGCUGAGGAGCGAAAGCCAGGGGAGCAAACGGG